rnacentral:rRNA from 1 species
AAAGCGUGCGCAGGCGGUUUUGUAAGACUGUCGUGAAAUCCCCGGGCUCAACCUGGGAAUGGCGAUGGUGACUGCAAGGCUAGAGUUUGGCAGAGGGGGGUAGAAUUCCACGUGUAGCAGUGAAAUGCGUAGAUAUGUGGAGGAACACCGAUGGCGAAGGCAGCCCCCUGGGUCAAAACUGACGCUCAUGCACGAAAGCGUGGGGAGCAAACAGGAUUAGAUACCUUGGU